rnacentral:rRNA from 1 species
UACAGAGGUCUCAAGCGUUGUUCGGAUUCAUUGGGCGUAAAGGGUGCGUAGGCGGCGCGGUAAGUCGGGUGUGAAAUCUCGGAGCUUAACUCCGAAACUGCAUUCGAUACUGCCGUGCUUGAGGACUGGAGAGGAGACUGGAAUUUACGGUGUAGCGGUGAAAUGCGUAGAUAUCGUAAGGAAGACCAGUGGCGAAGGCGGGUCUCUGAACAGUUCCUGACGCUGAGGCACGAAGGUCAGGGGGAGCAAACGGG